GGCUCAGUUCAGCAGGAACAG
rnacentral:ncRNA from 2 species